rfam:Triticum urartu cultivar G1812 contig546834, whole genome shotgun sequence.
UAUGUACUCUCUGUUCGAAAUUACUUGUCUCAAAAAUGGAUGUAUCUAGAACUAAAAUACGUCUAGAUACAUUCAUUUUUGCGAUAAAUAAUUCCGAACGGAAGGAGUAGUAC